AACGCGAAGAACCUUACCAAGGCUUGACAUAUAGCGAAAAGUGGCAGAGAUGUCAUGUCCGCAAGGGCGCUAUACAGGUGGUGCAUGGUUGUCGUCAGCUCGUGUCGUGAGAUGUUGGGUUAAGUCCCUCAACGAGCGCAACCCUCGUUCUGUGUUACCAGCAUUUAGUUGGGGACUCACAGGAGACUGCCGGGGUCAACUCGGAGGAAGGUGGGGAUGACGUCAAAUCAUCAUGCCCCUUAUGUCUUGGGCUGCACGCAUGCUACAAUGGCCGGUACAAAGUGCUGCGAAAUCGUAAGAUUUAGCGAAUCACAUAAAGCCGGUCUCAGUUCGGAUUGAGGUCUGCAACUCGACCUCAUGAAGUCGGAGUUGCUAGUAAUCGUAGAUCAUCAACGCUACGGUGAAUACGUUCCCGGGUCUUGUACACACCG
rnacentral:rRNA from 1 species